rnacentral:siRNA from 1 species
UUAUUGGUGGAGUGACUUGUG